GUAAGAUCCCUGAAAGAUGAUCAGGUUGAUAGGUCAGAGGUGGAAGCGUGGCGACAUGUGGAGCUGACUGAUACUAAUCGAUCGAGGACUUAACCAA
rnacentral:rRNA from 1 species